rnacentral:sRNA from 1 species
AACCCACCCAUCUCGUGUAUUCCUCUAGAGCAGUUACCUGGGGGAAAAAAAAUUAAAGGUGUGUUUCAAUUCACCAAGACUGUCGUCAAAGCUACCGUAGCUAUGGUCUUAACCGAUCUACAGGUAAAUAAAUAAUCUUU